UCUGAUUCCACAGGAAUUGAUGUCUGACAACAUGUGGGUGCUUAUGUGCCCUGAGCCUGGGGACAAGUCUGAGAAAGCAUCAACCCCAAACCAGAGGCAACCAGGAAAAUAGCCGGUUACAGCGCUUAAAGGAGGAGCAGUGUUAUCAACCAGAGGUACAUAGGUUCCGGAGCCAUACUGACCCAAGCUCGACUGCACAAACGCCUUCUCCUCUCUGAGCCUGAGUUCUUCAUCUGUAAAACAGGGAUAUGGUUUGUCUUAAAGGAUGAAUUUCGAAGAUUAAAUUCAAUGAUAAUGACAGGUACUAUAAUCAAAAAAGAUUCGCCAACCUCUGAUCUAGAAGAUGGUUUCAAAGGACCUUCAAAUACAACAUCCUAUGCUUCUGACUCUGGGUGUUGAAACAUCUUUCUCCAGUUUCUCCACCACCUCAUUAGUAGUAUGAAACAGCAAACACAUGAGCUUCCAGCAGCCCUCUGGAUUCCCCUGGGGCAUUGCUGACCCUCUCGGCCUUCUUCAUGCUACGUCACCUGGAGAUGUUUGGAAAUGCAGGCUCCUGAGGAAACCAAGAGGAAGGUUCCGGAAUGCUGUUCUCCACAGCCUGGCAUAUUCCUUUCUGAAAGUGACCUUGGGAGUCAUUGCUGGAGAUGGCAGAGCCACAACAUGGAAGGAGCCUGGUCUUUAAAUUACUCCAACCAACGAGCCUCCCAUCAAUCAAAAACACUGAGUUAAACUUUAUGUGAGCAAGAAAUAAACUUGUAUUUAUUGAGUUUUUUAAAAAUAACAUCCUUGUCAAAGAAACCAGAACUACUGGGCUGGAGAAAACACAGAGGUAGAGAGUGGUGUUAAAUCAAGUUUAGCCUAAAGCUGCCUCCUUACAUAUUGUAAGUUCAGCCUAAAGGCUUUUCUGCACAUCAUGAACUAUAUCCUAAACGGAGUUGUAAACAGACUGUAGACUACUCUUGUGCCAAUCACUGAGUUUUGGCCAAUCAAAGGUGGCCAACUGUUCAAACUGUGUUCUAAUAAGGCAAAUGCUAAGUUGUAACCAAAUUGGCUGUUUCUGUACCUCACUUCUGUUUUCUGUAUGCCACUUUCCUUUUUCUGUCCAUAAAUCUUCCAACUACAUAGCUGCACUGGAGUCUCUGAGCCUACUCUGGCUCAGGAGGCCUCCCAAUUCAUGAAUCGUUCUUUGCUCAAUUACACUCUGUUAAACUUAAUUUGGCUAAAGUUUUUCUUUUAACAGUAGUUAUGAUAUCCAACUUCAAAUACCCAGUGGGCCACCAUAAAUUAAGAUUUCUUGGUGUCACUUCCAGGUAGAGAACUAAUAUCUGCAAGGAGAUUGAUAUGGUUUGGCUCUGUGUCCCUACCCAAAUCUCACCUUGAAUUAUAAUCCCCAUAAUCUCCACCUGUCAAGGGUGGAACCAGAUGGAGGUUAUUGGAUCAUGGGGGUGCUUCUCCCAUGCUGUUCUCAUGACAGCGAGUGAGACUCAAGGGAUCUGAUGGUUUUAUAAGCAUCUGGCAUUUCCCCUGCUUGUACUCACUCUGUCCUGCCACCCUGUGAAGAAGGUACCUGUUUCUCCUUUGCCUUCUACCAUGAUUGUAAGUUUCCUGAGGCCUCCCCAGCAAUGCAGAACUGUGAGUCAAUUAAAUCUCUUUCCUUUAUAAAUGACCCAGUCUCGGGUAUUUCUUCAUAGCAGUAUGAGAAUGGACUAAUACAGAGACUGAUUGUGUAGGAGAUUUCCAAUGUAAGGAGAAAAAGUCCUAAGAAUCAGAGAUGUCCAAAGAUCUGCCUACUGCCCACCCUUCAACCUCAUCAUGCUCCCCUUGGCCACUCAUCCUUCCUUCUGUUUCAUGCAUAUCCUGGGCUCUUUCUUACCUCUGGGCCAGUAUGCCUUCAGAUCCCUCUACUUCAAACACUCUUUCUGACUCUUCACAGGCUAUAUGCAUGUGUUAAUUCAACAACUAUGUAUUGCUCUGUGCCUGCUCCAUGCCAGCACUGUUCUGGGUGCUUGGGAUAAAGCAGUGACCAAAACAGACAAAAAUUCCUGCCCUCAUGGAGCUUAAAUUCAGCCAGAGAUCAGUAUAAACAGUGACAUGAUUAAUGAGAUAAUAUGUUAGAUGAUAAAUGCUAUGGUGAGGAAGGAAGAAAGGCAUAGCAAAGAAAGGACGAGGAGUUCCAAGGCAGGGAUGAGGGGUGGUCAGAGACAAGUCACCAUUUUAAGUAGGGUGGGCAUGGCGAUGGUAGGCCUCACUGAGAAGAUGGUAUAUGAGCCGCUACUUGAGGGAGGUGAGGAAAUGAGUCAGAGGAUGACUGAUUAGUCAGAGUGUUCUAAGCAGGAUGAGCAUUCCAGGCAGAAGGAAUAGCAGGCAGAAAAUCCUUAAGGCAGAAACAUUUCUGGAAUUUUCAAAGAACAGAAAGGAGGCCAUCAUGGCUAGAGUGCAACAAGCAAAAAAUGGUGUAAUAAGAAAGGGAACGAGAGGCAACCAGGGCACAUGAGUCUUCAGGUUAAAUGCCACCUCCUCUGGGAAGCCUUUCUGAACUCUCAAAUCUAAACUGAGUUCCCUCCUUCAAUCCCUUUAUUCUCUCUCAUGCACCCUUGUCUUUUAUAAUAUAAGUUAUAAUUCAUGAAUUUAAUUUCUUACUAUCUUUAACCCCCAUUAGACUGUGAUGCCACUGAAACCACUUUUGCAAAAAUUAUAAUUGAGGAAAUUAUGACGGUGAAAGAGAGCUGACCUAACAACCAACUCCAUCUUGCUUCUAACCUCUCAGCUGUCCUUAUUCAUUCCUGGGCAUAGGCUGAACUAACCUUGAGAAGGAAUUUGUAGUUUAACUUUGAAACAAAAAUGGUAGCAGCCCUUUCCCAAAAUAAACCUCCUUCUUGCCUUGGGACCAGUCUGCCUUUGUAGGACUAACAAAUUAGCUACAAGAUUAGAAAUUAUGGUUUAGAAACCAUGCAGCCUCUGGCUGCUCUGAACCUCCCCAAAUUGCUCCUGAGAAUAACAUCACUGUUGUAAAACCUAAGAUCAGUGCUUGAGAUAUUUUGCAGACCCUGCAUUCUGAUGCACCAGCUGAUGCCACCCAAGCCAGUAAUCUGGUGCAACCAGUUCUGCGAUCCCACCUAGGGACAGAAGACAGCAAGGAGUAUUCACCUCCACCUGCUAUGAUUUCAUCUCCAACCCAACCAAUCAGCACUCCCCACUUCCCAAGCCCCUACUCGCCAAAUUAUCCUUAAAAACUCUGAUCCGGGAAUUAUCAGGCAGACUGAUUUAAGUAAUAAUAAAGCUCUAGUCUCCUGUAUAGCCAGCUCUGUGUGAAUUAAACUCUCUCUAUUGCAAUUCCCUGUCUUGAUAAAUCAGCUCUGUCUAGGCAGCGGGCAAGGUGAACCCAUGGGGCAAUUAUAUGCCAGGACAGAGGCCAGGUUAACUUCAAUCAUCUCACUGCACCAGCACCUAGCCCGGUGCCUGGUAGUUGCCCAAUUAAUAUUUGGUGUUUAAUUAAUAUUUCUUGGCCAAAUUAAUGGCUGUUGUAAUAAGUUGCCUUAUUGGUAGUCAAUUGGUGAGGAUUCCCCUGUCACAGGGUGCAGUUAGACAGCAAACUCCAAAAUCCUUUCCCACCAGGAGAGUCUGUAAUGCUCUGGCAUUCCUGAAAUAAAGCCCUAAGUUUAUUUUCUGUUGCAAACAGGCAAACAACUUUCUCUUGUCCUUCCAUUUGGCAGAAUUCUUUCUUUCCACUUAAAAUCCUCUUCCUUCAGGCUUUUCUUUGUCUGUGCCCCUCAAGGCUGUGCUGCGUUCUGUUUGAAAAUUAUACAUCCUGCUAGGUUUCUCCACUUGAUACUGCCCCUUGGCCAUUUCCAAAAACAACUGGGUAACAAUUCCCGUAGUUUUAAUGAAGCUAGGUUUACUCCGCUCUCUUCCCUCCCCCACUCGCCUUGCAACCUUAACACAGCCAGUUGGCUAUGGAAGGACACUGCAUAGUGUGUAAAUAUAAACCACCUGGACAGAGACCAAAAAAAACAUCCAGAGUUUCAUUUGGGGAAUCAUGCAACAAAAUGUCAAAGAGAGCAAUGGUGUAGUAUAGACAUUGGUCUCCAUUCUUUAGCCAGAUGUUGAUUUGUGGUGGAAUUUCAGAGAUGUUAUUUAACCUCUCUCAGCCUCAGUUUUCUUAUGUAUAAAUUGGAGAUAACUAAUGGGGUUAGCAUCAUUACAACACAAGGAUAUGAACACACUAUGAAGACUUCUAAGUAUUAUUCUAAUGAGAAAGGUUUCAUUAGAAUCUAUUGAUACAGAUUUCCUGUCAAUCAUCUCUAAAGACCUGCAAAAUCUGGCCCCUGACUCUCUGAAUUCACUCAGAGCCACUCUCCAACUAGUUCCCUAUUAGUUCCCUUAACACACAAGUUCUUUCCUGCCUCACAGCUUCUUUCCUCUGCCCGGAAUACUUUUCCCUCCCAAUAUUUAUCAUGUCUAGAUGCUUCUUUCCUUUGAGUUCUCAGUUUAAGCGUUGCCUUCUGCUAUGAUCUGAAUGUUGGUGUCCCCUCCAAAUUUCCUGUGUUGGAACCUAAUACCAAUGUGAAUAGUAUUAAGAUGUGGGAGCUUUGGGAAGUGAUUAAGUAAUGAGGGCUGCACCCUCAUGAAUAGGAUCAGUGCCCUUAUAAAAGAGCCUCAAGCAAGCUCCCGUGCCUCUUCUGCCAUGGGAAGAUGCAGGAAGAAGUCACCUUUAAAACAGAGGGCAAGCCCUCACCAGACACCAAGUCUGCUGGCGCCUUGAUCCUGGACUCCCCAGCCUCCUGAAUGUGAGCAAUAAAUCUCUGUUGUUUAUAAAUUACACAGCCUAAGGUAGUUUUUCUGUAGCAGGCUGAACAGACUAAGACACCUUCUAAGAGAAGUUUUUCUUUUCUUGUCCAUCGUACCUAAAAUGAAUGUUCUCAUUCUCAACUGUAUCUGAUUUCUUUAUAGCAUGUAUUAUGUCUUUCCAUUCAUUCUAAUCACUUGCCGGUCUGCUUCACCUGAUCAAGGACCACGUUUCUCUCCCUCACCAUCCCCACUGCCCAGCACAGUGCAUGCCCAGCCCAUGACAAUGGUUCAAUAAAUAUUUGUUAAGCACAUGAAUACAUUAAUUUAUGACAGCAGACUAUUGAAAAUAACACAAAGACCCAACAAAAGGAAAAUGCUCUAGAGCCAUUCAAAAUUAUCACUGAAAAGACUAUAGUAGCAUAGGAAAAUAUUUAGGAUAUAUGAUUAGGUUAGGAAAUGCUAUUUACACUUGAUUUGCAACUAUGUAAAAAUAUGAGGCCAGAUGGCCAGAAACUAGAAGUAAAUUUGGAAAUAGUCAAAUGAUUUGCUAGGGUGGUGGGACUGUAGGUGUUUUUGGUUUUUUUCUCUUUUGUUUCUGCUCCUGUUGCUAUAAUACUGUUUGUUCAGCAAUUAUAAUGUGUUUUUCAUCACUAAACAGGGCAUACUGUUGAAUUGCUCAGAAAGGAAGUACAACAUUUGCUCACAGGUGUAUUUGGAACUAAC
rnacentral:lncRNA from 10 species